GAUGAAGAACGUAGCGAAAUGCGAUAAGUAAUGUGAAUUGCAGAAUUCAGUGAAUCAUCGAAUCUUUGAACGCACCUUGCACCCUUUGGCAUUCCGAAGGGUAUGCUCGUUUGAGUGUCAUUGUACUCUCACACUCUCCGAUCCUAUGGAUUCGGGGAGCGGUGGACUUGGGUGUUGCUGCCUUUCCUUGUGGCUCACCUCAAAUGCGUCAGUGCACCUCUUGGUUGGACAUAGUACGGCGUGAUAAGUGUCUUCGCCGGCACCUCGCAAGAGGGUGGCCGAUCGGGAGCUCUGCGCUUUCAAACCGUCUUCGGACAAUUUCUGAUAACUUGACCUCAAAUCGAGUAGGACUACCCGCUGAACUUAAGCAUAUCAAUAAGCGGAGGA
rnacentral:misc_RNA from 1 species